GCAGCUCUGUGCUAGCCACACUCUUCCAUUCUCCAGAGGCUGGAGCCAGGGUCAAGGGCAGAAACAGCUUACAAAUCUCAGUUAUAUCCAGUGUCCAAUUAAUUAGUGUUGAGGGUGAAUUUAGUUUUCAAUAAUCUUUUUGUUUUCUACAGCCGAAGUUCUCUUUAUUAAAGACCCCAGGAGCUCAUGUUUGUUUCUCAUCUUUACCAAGCUUCCAGGAGCUUUCAUUUUCCUCACUUCCCACAUAGAAGCUCAACAGCUACCCCAUGAGCUGUUUUCCCUGGAGACUCCUGCCCAUCCCCAUGAAUCAAUCUGUGAUCUAAGGCCACGCUUUUGGCGGUGCUUUACGGGCUCUGGAGUACUGGCUUCUGGCUGCUCGGUUCUCAGCGUCAAAUGAAGACAAGGGCUGCGUCUGGCACCUUGCUAGAAACUGAGUCAUUGUUAUUGGGUUCAGUCAAAAUGUAUUUGAUUACAGGGGAUGGUGGAUUACUGUGAUUUAUUUUGUUCUCCAAACUGCAGAAGAUCUCCUGGGCUUUGGUAAAAUUCUCUAGGAUAGCUGUGAGUAGUCGAGCUAUUGAAAACUUUUAUACACACAUAUACACAUACAGAUUUACUUAUACACAUGUAUAUGUACCUUAAUAUAUGAAAGUAUGUAAAUAAUUAAAUGCCAGUUUUGAAAUGUCAACACUGCAAUGAAGAGUAGUUUGCUUUUUCCUUGUCAAUGAGGCUGGAAAAGCCCUAGAAUUUUCUUCAUUCCUGUUAUGCUUGCUACCUGCAA
rnacentral:lncRNA from 1 species